GAUGAACGCUGGCGGCGUGCCUAAUACAUGCCAGUCGAGCGAACAGACGAGGAGCUUGCUCCUCUGACGUUAGCGGCGGACGGGCGAGUAACACGUGGAUAACCUACCUAUAAGACUGGGAUAACUUCGGGAAACCGGAGCUAAUACCGGAUAAUAUAUUGAACCGCAUGGUUCAAUAGUGAAAGACGGUUUUGCUGUCACUUAUAGAUGGAUCCGCGCCGCAUUAGCUAGUUGGUAAGGUAACGGCUUACCAAGGCGACGAUGCGUAGCCGACCUGAGAGGGUGAUCGGCCACACUGGAACUGAGACACGGUCCAGACUCCUACGGGAGGCAGCAGUAGGGAAUCUUCCGCAAUGGGCGAAAGCCUGACGGAGCAACGCCGCGUGAGUGAUGAAGGUCUUCGGAUCGUAAAACUCUGUUAUUAGGGAAGAACAAAUGUGUAAGUAACUAUGCACGUCUUGACGGUACCUAAUCAGAAAGCCACGGCUAACUACGUG
rnacentral:rRNA from 1 species